rnacentral:rRNA from 1 species
GUAGGGUGCGAGCGUUAAUCGGAAUUACUGGGCGUAAAGCGUGCGCAGGCGGUUUUAUAAGCCAGAUGUGAAAGCCCCGGGCUCAACCUGGGAAUGGCAUUUGGGACUGUAAGGCUGGAGUAUGGCAGAGGAGACUAGAAUUCCUGGUGUAGCAGUGAAAUGCGUAGAUAUCAGGAGGAAUACCGAUGGCGAAGGCAGGUCUCUGGGCCAAUACUGACGCUCAUGCACGAAAGCGUGGGGAGCAAACAGGAUUAGAUACCCUGGUGGUCCACGCCCUAAACGAUAUCAACUGGUUGUUGGGGGAUUUAUUCUCUUAGUAACGAAGCUAACGCGUGAAGUUGUCCGCCUGGGGAGUACGGUCGCGAGAUUA